rnacentral:rRNA from 1 species
CCUACGGGUGGCAGCAGUGAGGAAUAUUGGUCAAUGGACGAGAGUCUGAACCAGCCAAGUAGCGUGAAGGAUGACUGCCCUAUGGGUUGUAAACUUCUUUUAUAUGGGAAUAAAACGUUCCACGUGUGGGAUUUUGUAUGUACCAUAUGAAUAAGGAUCGGCUAACUCCGUGCCAGCAGCCGCGGUAAUACGGAGGAUCCGAGCGUUAUCCGGAUUUAUUGGGUUUAAAGGGAGCGUAGGUGGAUUGUUAAGUCAGUUGUGAAAGUUUGCGGCUCAACCGUAAAAUUGCAGUUGAAACUGGCAGUCUUGAGUACAGUAGAGGUGGGCGGAAUUCGUGGUGUAGCGGUGAAAUGCUUAGAGAUCACGAAGAACUCCGAUUGCGAAGGCAGUUCACUAGACUGCAACUGACACUGAGGCUCGAAAGUGUGGGUAUCAAACAGGAUUAGAUACCCUUGUAGUC